rnacentral:rRNA from 1 species
UACGUAGGGUGCAGGCGUUGUCCGGAAUUAUUGGGCGUAAAGAGCUCGUAGGCGGUCUGUCGCGUCGGAUGUGAAAACCCGGGGCUUAACCCCGGGCCUGCAUUCGAUACGGGCAGACUCGAGUGUGGUAGGGGAGACUGGAACUCCUGGUGUAGCGGUGAAAUGCGCAGAUAUCAGGAAGAACACCGGUGGCGAAGGCGGGUCUCUGGGCCACUACUGACGCUGAGGAGCGAAAGCGUGGGGAGCGAACAGG